ACCAGACUCCCUCCCAUGCUCAUCCAUCUAUAAAAAAAAUAAAUUUUAUAAAAUAUAUGAUCUAUGAUACAUCACAAAUGAUACAAGACACAUAUCAUACAGUUAACUUGAUAUAUGAUAUAUGAUACAUCAUAUGUGGUUCAAUAAACCUUAAAAUAUCAAUUUUUAAUUGACAAACUAAGAGUUUCAAUAAAAUUUAUAAGUAUCAAAUACAUAAUAUGCGAUACAUGAUAUGCAAUUUCACUAAGAAAUAUAAGUGCAUUUAUAUAUAUAUCAAAU
rnacentral:lncRNA from 1 species